rnacentral:rRNA from 1 species
GUGUCAGCAGCCGCGGUAAUACGUAGGGUGCAAGCGUUGUUCGGAAUCAUUGGGCGUAAAGCGCGUGUAGGCUGCUAGCUAAGUCGGGUGUGAAAUCCCUGGGCUCAACCGAGGAAGUGCAUUCGAAACUGGCUAGCUAGAGAGUGGUAGAGGAAGGUGGAAUUCCAAGUGUAGAGGUGAAAUUCGUAGAUAUUUGGAGGAAUACCGGUGGCGAAGGCGGCCUUCUGGGCCACUUCUGACGCUGAGACGCGAAAGCGUGGGGAGCAAACAGGAUUAGAAACCCCUGUAGUCC